GCUGGGCGCGGUGGCGCAUGCCUGUAGUCCCAGCUACUCAGGAGGCUGAGGUGGGAGGAUCGUUUGAGCCCAGGAGUUCUGGGCUGUAGUGCGCUAUGCUGAUUGGAUGUCCGCACUAAGUUUGGCAUCAAUAUGGUGACCUCCUGGGAGCGGGGGACCACCAGGUUGCCUAAGGAGGGGUGACCCGGCCCAGGUCGGAAACGGAGCAGGUCAAAACUCCCGUGCUGAUCAGUAGCGGGAUCUUGCCUGUGAAUAGCCACUGCACUCCAGCCUGGGCAACAUAGCGAGACCCCGUCUCU
rnacentral:SRP_RNA from 1 species